GCUGGGGCCGCGAGGCCCAGGGCGCUGGAAGGACGCUGCGGGAGCGGCCAGGGACGUCCUUCUCUCGGACCGCCGCUGCAGGACGGGACCCCAAGAUCGCCGUCCCGGUUCGGGAAGGCGGGGCCGCAGACUUGCUUAUUUAAACCCAGGGCCGGCGCCACUGCCGGGGAGCCCUGGUCCACUUUGCCGGGGUGGCGGGGCCGGGGGAGAGGCGGCCCGCGGUGGGGUCACCCAGGCCUCGCUGCAUCUGGAGGCGCUGGCCCCUCCUCUCUGUAUGCAGAGGACCCCCCGGUGCCCUUCCUGACGAGCUGCGGGCCGUUGGCGGGGAACACAGCCCACAGAUUAUGCUCUGGGGUUUGUGAACAGAGCCUGGAUGAGAGCUCCAGCUGGGUCAUUUAGAAAUCAGAAGACUGCCUUGGAAUAAAUUAGUUAAUCUAACCAAAC
rnacentral:lncRNA from 1 species